UACGUAGGGGGGCUAGCGUUGUCCGGAUUUAUUGGGCGUAAAGGGCGCGUAGGCGGCCAGCACAAGUCGGUUGUGAAAUCUCCGGGCUUAACUCGGAAAGGUCAACCGAUACUGUGCGGCUAGAGUGCGGGAAGGGGCAACUGGAAUUCCUGGUGUAGCGGUGAAAUGCGCAGAUAUCAGGAAGAACACCAAUGGCGAAGGCAGCUCUCUGGGACGGUACUGACACUGAGACGCGAAAGCGUGGGGAGCGAACAGG
rnacentral:rRNA from 1 species